rnacentral:lncRNA from 1 species
CACAUAUCAUGGAAUGAAAAUGGCGGUGAAAAAUUACGGCUUUUUUGCUUUUUUUGAGAAUGAGUGCUGUGAACCACUUAUUUUCUAUUAUAUAUGCCACUUUGCUGGCAUGCCUUAAAUUUGUCCUUAUAGUAGAUAUGACUAACGUUUCUACGGUUUAACGCAUUUACAUUUUGUUACCCAGUGGUUUUGAAAACUUCUCUCUACUAUAUAUGAUUUUAUUUCUGUUUCAUUCUAAGAAGGUAUCAUCAAA